CCUACGGGAGGCUGCAGUGGGGAAUAUUGCACAAUGGGCGCAAGCCUGAUGCAGCCAUGCCGCGUGUGUGAAGAAGGCCUUCGGGUUGUGAAGCACUUUCAGCGGGGAGGAAGGCGGUGAGGUUAAUAACCUCAUCGAUUGACGUUACCCGCAGAAGAAGCACCGGCUAACUCCGUGCCAGCAGCCGCGGUAAUACGGAGGGUGCAAGCGUUAAUCGGAAUUACUGGGCGUAAAGCGCACGCAGGCGGUCUGUCAAGUCGGAUGUGAAAUCCCCGGGCUCAACCUGGGAACUGCAUUCGAAACUGGCAGGCUAGAGUCUUGUAGAGGGGGGUAGAAUUCCAGGUGUAGCGGUGAAAUGCGUAGAGAUCUGGAGGAAUACCGGUGGCGAAGGCGGCCCCCUGGACAAAGACUGACGCUCAGGUGCGAAAGCGUGGGGAGCAAACAGGAUUAGAUACCCGAGUAGUC
rnacentral:rRNA from 1 species